AACGAACGCUGGCGGAAUGCUUUACACAUGCAAGUCGAACGGUAGAGGGGGCAACCCCUCGAGAGUGGCGAACGGGUGAGUAAUAUAUCGGAACGUGCCCAGUCGUGGGGGAUAACGUAGCGAAAGUUACGCUAAUACCGCAUACGAUCUAAGGAUGAAAGCGGGGGAUCGCAAGACCUCGCGCGAUUGGAGCGGCCGAUAUCAGAUUAGGUAGUUGGUGGGGUAAAGGCUCACCAAGCCAACGAUCUGUAGCUGGUCUGAGAGGACGACCAGCCACACUGGAACUGAGACACGGUCCAGACUCCUACGGGAGGCAGCAGUGGGGAAUUUUGGACAAUGGACGCAAGUCUGAUCCAGCCAUUCCGCGUGCAGGAUGAAGGCCCUCGGGUUGUAAACUGCUUUUGUACGGAACGAAAAGGUCUCUCUUAAUACGGGGGACUCAUGACGGUACCGUAAGAAUAAGCACCGGCUAACUACGUGCCAGCCGCCGCCGUAAAAC
rnacentral:rRNA from 1 species